UUAAAGUUUAAUUUUUACUUAAAGAAUUAAUUUUUAGUUUAUUUUACAUGUAAAUAUUUGUGGGAUUUAAUAUUAAUUUUAAUAAUUUUUGUUUUAUUUUAUUCUCAGUAAUUAAUUUUAUAAAUAAAAGAAAUUUUGAAUUAGUAAAUUAUAUAAUAUUAGUAAAAAUUGUGCCAGCAACUGCGGUUAUACAAUAAAUAUAAAUUAAUUUAAUUAUUUAGAGUUAAAAUGAUUAAAUUGAAUAUAAAAAUAAAUUUAUUAGGUUAAAUUUUAAAUUUAUAAAAAUUUUCAUUAAAUAAUAUUUUAAGCUUAAAAAUUUUAUUAUUAAACUAGGAUUAGAUACCCUAUUAUUUAAAUUGUAAAUCUAAAAAAUAGAGUAGUAUUAGUUAUAUUCUUAAAACUUAAUAAAUUUGGCGGUAUUUUAUUCUAUUCAGAGGAACUUGUUUUAUAAUUGAUAAUCCUCAUUAUAUCUUACUUAAUUUUGUUUAAUUUGUAUACCGUCGUCAUAAGAAUCUCUUUAAAAAGAUAAUAAUUUUCUAAAAUUUUUAAUAAAAAUUAUGUCAGAUCAAGGUGCAGUUUAUAGUUAAGAAAAAAUGAGUUACAAUAAAUUUAUUUAAACAGUUUUAAAGAUGAAAUUUUUUUAUUUAAGGUGGAUUUGAUAGUAAAUUAAUUUAUAAAAAUUAAUUGAUUUUAGUUCUAAAAUAUGUACAUAUUGCCCGUCGCUCUCGUUAUUUAAAAUGAGAUAAGUCGUAACAUAGUAGAAGUACUGGAAAGUGUUUCUAGAUUACA
rnacentral:ncRNA from 1 species